UGCAGUCGAGCGGACCGACGGGAGCUUGCUCCCUUAGGUCAGCGGCGGACGGGUGAGUAACACGUGGGUAACCUGCCUGUAAGACUGGGAUAACUCCGGGAAACCGGGGCUAAUACCGGAUGCUUGAUUGAACCGCAUGGUUCAAUCAUGAAAGGCGGCUUCGGCUGCCGUUUACAGAUGGACCCGCGGCGCAUUAGCUAGUUGGUGAGGUAACGGCUCACCAAGGCGACGAUGCGUAGCCGACCUGAGAGGGUGAUCGGCCACACUGGGACUGAGACACGGCCCACACUCCUACGGGAGGCAGCAGUAGGGAAUCUUCCGCAAUGGACGAGAGUCUGACGGAGCAACGCCGCGUGAGUGAUGAACGUUCUCAGAUCGUAAAGCUCUGUUGUUAGGGAAGAACAAGUACCGUUCGAAUAGGGCGGUACCUUGACGGUACC
rnacentral:rRNA from 1 species